UACGUGGGGAGCAAGCGUUGUUCGGAUUUACUGGGCGUAAAGGGCGCGUAGGCGGUCAGCACAGGUCAGUUGUGAAAUCUCCGAGCUUAACUCGGAACGGUCAACUGAUACUGUGCGGCUAGAGUGCGGAAGGGGCAACUGGAAUUCUUGGUGUAGCGGUGAAAUGCGUAGAUAUCAAGAGGAACACCUGCGGCGAAGGCGGGUUGCUGGGCCGACACUGACGCUGAGGCGCGAAAGCCAGGGGAGCGAACGGG
rnacentral:rRNA from 1 species